AGGAUUAGAUACCCGGGUAGUCCACGCCCUAAACGUUGCGAACUAGGUGUUGGUCGGAUUGACCCGAUCAGUGCCGCAGCUAACGCAUUAAGUUCGCCGCCUGGGGACUACGGCCGCAAGGUUAAAACUCAAAGGAAUAGGCGGGGGCCCGCACAAGCGGUGGGGCAUGUGGUUCAAUUCGAUGCAAAGCGAAGAACCUUACCAGGGUUUGACAUGCUGGCGUAAGCCUAUGUGAAAGCAUGGGGUGGUGUGGAGCUUGCUUCACACAGCCAGCACAGGUGCUGCAUGGCUGUCGUCAGCUCGUGCCGCGAGGUGUCCGGUUAAGUCCGGUAACGAGCGCAACCCUUGUUCAUAGUUGCCAGCAUUUAAGGUGGGCACUCUAUGGAGACCGCCGGCGACAAGCCGGAGGAAGGCGGGGACGACGUCAAGUCAUCAUGGCCUUUAUGUCCUGGGCUACACACAUGCUACAAUGGCGGAUACAAUGGGUUGCUAACCCGUAAGGGGGAGCUAAUCUCAUCAAAGUCCGUUUCAGUUCGGAUUGCAGGCUGCAACCCGCCUGCAUGAAGCUGGAAUCGCUAGUAAUCGUGGAUCAGCCACGCCACGGUGAAUACGUUCCCGGGCCUUGCACACACCGCCCGUCACACCACGAAAGCUGGUUCUGCCCGAAGUGGCUGGGCCAACCCGCAAGGGGGGCAGGCUCCGAAGGCAGGGCUGGUGAUUGGGGUGAAGUCGUAACAAG
rnacentral:rRNA from 1 species